rnacentral:lncRNA from 1 species
CCGUGACCUAGUUGGUUAGGUAGCCUAACUGACAACGUUGAAGUCAUGGGUUCAAACCUCGUUGACAUAUGUAAGGGUGUGUGAGUUAUUUAAUAAAAAGUUUUAUUUAUUUAUUUAAAAAAAAAUCCAGGUAUUUUAUCAGAGAUAAUGCUACCAGAACAUCAUUGUAGUCUACCAGAAUUGACAUCGAAGUUCAACCAGAUGGAGUUUUGAUAAUAAAUCCAUACACGCUUAUUCUCUUCAACAUCUGAAAUGAUUACUGCAUGACUUUCAUCUAUUCUCUGGUCAUAAAAAUGAGAUGGAGUUUUGAUAAUAAAUCCAUCCAUUUAUUCAUUGCAGCUAUGCUCUGCACUUCUUUCCCAUUAAUAAGAACAUGAGAUAUUGGAUGAAACUAGAAAAAAAUUAAGAAUAUAGUAUAGUCAUUGAGUUCAGAUCAAGAUGAAUAUAGUGAAUUAAACUAAAGGACUUAUAAUCUCAGCUUAUAUGGAGUAUCUAAUAUCCAAGUAAACAAGUGAAGUUCCUGAGUACAAUUUGUUGCUCUACUCCUAGCUAGUAGAAGUUGUUCCUAAUAGAUAUAUUAAGGGCAUACCUACUUAAUAAUGCAAUUGUUCUAAGUGCUAAUUAAGUCAUGAGAAACAUGUAAAAGAUUUAACUCUGCUAACAAAGUUCUCUCUUGAUCUUGAAUCGUUCAUACAUAUAGUCUAGUCUCGAAGUUUUUAAUAUUCAAGAUGUAUGUAAAACACUUUUAUCUCUCGCUGUUGUGACAUUCAAAACAUAUAUAAAAUACGUACAAUUCAAAUUCAAUACUGUAUGAAAAAACUAUUUUUCGUUCGAACAUUGUGUUUUUUUUUUGGGUACGUUGUGGCCCUUCCUGGCGUAAAAAAUCAGUAUAUUAGCCCUUAUUAGCCACGCUUUUAUUAAAAAAAAAGAAGAAAAAAAAGUCACAAUUUAUAUUGACAAAGCGUAUUGAGUCAGAGUAGAAAGUCGCUCACCUCCGAUAAUGGCGCACCGGAGAGGGCGCAACCGCCACCGCAACCGUCCACUCGCCCCCGAUGCCGCGGAUACCCACGCGCUGCCGAUUUCCGACUCGGACAGCUCCUCCGACUCGGAAGGCGAGUCUGCUCGGCUGUCCGGUCUCGGUGCGAGCUUCCGAAUCGUGUCGGAGUCGCUGUUGAGGAUGGAGCAGACGGAGCUGGAGAUGGCCAAGGCGAGGGAGGCUCUGCGGCUCAAGGCGGAGAAGCGGCGGCUGGAGUCGGAGGCGGAGUUGACUGAGAUGCUGCUCCAGACUCAGCUCCAGAUCGCGUCGUUGGUUUCGCGGGGGAGAGAUCAUCAUCGCAGCCGUAAACGGAAGCGAGCUGAGGAGAAGGAAGAUGAAGGGGAAGAAAACGACUCGUCGUCUUCUUCGGCUGUGUCCAAAAGAGAAGGAGGUUUGGCAUUGAGCCUGCUCCAGUGUAGCAUGUUAUUAUGAAAAUCAAAAACUUGUAUUUGUAAUUGUAAUUGUUUUGAUGCUUCUACUGUAAACACAUGAAUUCGAUCGCUAAUUAUUGAAAUUUCCAAGUGGGAAGCCAUUGGUUUAACUCGAUUGUCUUCUUGAUCCGUAACGGUUCUUGAUUGUAUAACUCAUUUGAUCAAACAAAAUAUGAUCCUAUUUACGAAGAGAAUGUACUCGUUUGUAAUAGAUCUUAUUCACAUGAAAAAAUUCUGUUUAAGAGUAACUUGAUUGGGAUAAGCAAGUCUGUAAGUGCAGUACAUAACAAGUUCUUUCUUGAUCAUCAACUUUGUUUAUUGCGAAGUGUUUUCCUUUGAGAUUCUAGGCAUAUGUGAUUGUGUGCGGGAGCGAGUUACAUAUAUUCUUUUAUUAAAUCUCCUUUAUUUACUAUAGUAAUUAGUAACUCCACACUUAUUUUCAUAGCUCUGCUUCGUUUUGGCAUGAACGCUCAGAUCUUCAGUUGCCAUCUGC